rnacentral:rRNA from 1 species
CACGUAGUUAGCCGGUGCUUCUUAUCCAGGUACCGUCACCCGAAGGCUUCUUCCCUAGCGAAAGAGGUUUACAACCCGAAGGCCGUCAUCCCUCACGCGGCGUCGCUGCAUCAGGCUUCCGCCCAUUGUGCAAUAUUCCCCACUGCUGCCUCCCGUAGGAGUCUGGGCCGUGUCUCAGUCCCAAUGUGGCCGUCCACCCUCUCAGGCCGGCUACCCGUCGUCGCCUUGGUAGGCCAUUACCCCACCAACAAGCUGAUAGGCCGCGGGCUCAUCCUCCACCGAAAAAACUUUCCACCAACCACACUAAAGAUUGGUCCUAUCCGGUAUUAGACCCAGUUUCCCAGGCUUAUCCCGAAGUGAAGGGCAGAUCACCCACGUGUUACUCACCCGUUCGCCACUCGAGUACCCCUGCAAGCAGGGGCCUUUCCGUUCGACUUGCAUGUGUUAAGCACGCCGCCAGCGUUCGUCCUGAGCCAGGAUCAAACUCU